UACAGAGGGGGCAAGCGUUGUUCGGAAUUACUGGGCGUAAAGGGCGCGUAGGCGGCCCGCUAAGUCGAACGUGAAAUCCCCGAGCUCAACUCGGGAACUGCGUCCGAUACUGGCGGGCUUGAAUCCGGGAGAGGGAUGCGGAAUUCCAGGUGUAGCGGUGAAAUGCGUAGAUAUCAGGAGGAACACCAAUAGCGAAGGCAGCUCGCUGGGACGGUAUUGACGCUAAGGCGCGAAAGCGUGGGGAGCAAACAGG
rnacentral:rRNA from 1 species